rnacentral:rRNA from 1 species
CACGUAGGGUGCGAGCGUUGUCCGGAAUUAUUGGGCGUAAAGAGCUCGUAGGCGGUGUGUCGCGUCGGCCGUGAAAGCCCCCGGCUCAACUGGGGAGGGUCACUCGAUACUGAUCGACUUGAAGGCAGGAGAGGGAAGCGGAAUUCCCGGUGUAGUGGUGAAAUGCGUAGAUAUCGGGAGGAACACCAGUGGCGAAGGCGGCUUCCUGGCCUGCUCUUGACGCUGAGGCGCGAAAGCUAGGGUAGCAAACGGG